CCAGAAUCGGGGCUUGGCUCCUUAUAACCCUGUGGGGGGAGGGCCAAUGCAAUAACCUGCCCCAGGAGAAGAUCCUUUGCCGGCCCCGUCAGUCAGCCGAUCCUCCCCGGCUCUCGCACGGGCAGAUCCUGCCAGCCUUUGGGGAAGUUGGGAUCUGGACCCUCCACGCUGCUGAUGCGCAGGACUCUCUGAUGCCCUCUAGAAGGUGAGAGAGAAGAACAGUCCAGUGGAUGAGACACUGCUGCCCUCUUACAGGCUCCGCUCAGGCCACCACAGUCUUGCUUCUCCACCAGGCAGAGAUUCGGAGUAAGUCGUCUCCUGCUCAAAUCCGGUUCAUGUCUCUCCAACUGUCUCAAACCAGUGGGGCAAGCUCCAUGCUCGUUUAGGAAUGGGCUGCCCUCAUCCACACUGGAGAGAGGAGGAGGGGGCCUGUGCCUGAUGGGCCUUGCCCUGCUGAGAGUGUAUCUGGGGGAAGUGUGAAAAGCAGGAGAAACAGCCUGGAAAUCCAGCUCAGCUGGGGAAAGAAUCUGGCAACAGGCUGUAGAAUUAGCUUGUCUGCAACAGUGGAUUGGACACAAGAGCCUGACUUGCACAGAUGUCGUGGCCGAAGCAGUGCGGGGCACACACUGGGAAGAUGUUGAAGAUUGAUGGGAAGCCCUUGGUUGGGUGUCCCAGGUUUAGCUGUGGUCACCGACAUCAGAGAACCACGUGGAAACCACAGGCUCUCGGUGUAGAUCCAAGCUUGCCAGACUGUGGAGGUUCAUGGUCCCUCCAGCUCUGGCAAAAUGUGACCUCUGGACUGCUCUUGAUGCCUGGCUGGUUCUCAUCCUAGGAAGCAGGUAGGAGAACGACAACCUCUGUCUGCUUCGCACUGGCCUCCUCAGGCCCAGGUCCAUUCUCAGUGUGACCAGGGUGGACUCAGACCCAGCUCACUCCGCUGAAAUCAAUCUGGGUUUACACCUAUUGGAAUCCACCUGGCGGGUGCUUCUACAGUGCCUGAUGUCCCAUGAGCCCCACAUCAAUGGCCACCAGAUCUGCCAGGGCACCUUUGACAGAUCGAAACAGCUUCCAGCAGGAUUUCUCUGGAGAGGAUCCCCAAACCAAGGGGAUGGGGGAGGAAAGCAGCGAGUUAGCCUGAACCCCACAGCUUCCACUAUGCUUGGAACGAGAGGUUACUGGAAAUGCUACAUCAGGUCAACAGGCGCUGACCCAGGAGAGUGGCCUUAAGCUAUGGUGAUGAAACUCCUUUGUGAUGUUCCAUGUGUGAAUAGAGACAGGCAGCUCUGAGCAAUCAGAGGCUGGGGGGAAGGGGGACUGUGCUGCAGUGGUAGCAGAUCCAGGAUUUCCUCUGAGGUUGUUCCAGAUUUCUCAGCUCUAGGGAGGGCAGAGCAUGGGCCCUCCUGCUCCAAAAGCCAGGCUCCUAAAGGAGACUCCCCCUCAGCCAUAUAGGGGCUGCGACACACAGCUCAGCUGCUCCAAUCAUCCAGCAGGGGGCAAUGGUUCAUACGCAGGCUAGCCCCUGGGGACGUGCUGUAACAUUCUCUCUCUGGCUAGCCCCUACAGUCAGAUGCCUCUAAACAAGUGCUGUGGAUUGGAAAA